GGAGAGAGAUGGCAGUGCGGGAGCGAGUCGAGGAGUCGGUCGCGUCCCGGAGAGAGAUGGCAGUGCGGGAGCGAGCCGAGGAGUCGGUCGAGUCCCGGAGAGAGAUGGCAGUGCGGGAGCGAGCCGAGGAUUCGGUCGAGUCCCGGAGAGAGAUAGCAGUUCGGGAGCGAGCCGAGGAGUCGGUCGCGUCCCGGAGAGAGAUGGCAGUGCGGGAGCGAGCCGAGGAGUCGGUCGCGUCCCGAGAGAGAUGGCAGUGCGGGAGCGAGCCGAGGAGUCGGUCGCGUCCCGGAGAGAGAUGGCAGUGCGGGAGCGAGCCGAGGAGUCGGUCGCGUCCUGGAGAGAGAUGGCGGUGCGGGAGCGAGUCGAGGAGUCGGACGCGUCCCGGAGAGAGAUGGCAGUGCGGGAGCGAGCCGAGGAGCCAGUCGCGUCCCGUAGAGAGAUGGCAGUGCGGGAGCGAGCCCAGGAGUCGGUUGCGUCACGGAGAGAGAUGGCAGUGCGGGAGCGAGCCGAGGACUCGGUCGCGUCCCGGAGAGAGAUGGCAUUGCGGGAGCGAGCCGAGGAUUCGGUCGCGUCCCGGAGA